rnacentral:tRNA from 1 species
UUACUUUGGCAGAUUAGUGUAUUUGAUUUAGAAUCAUUUUAAGUGAAAAUUUUUACAAGUAAUAN